AAAUUGAAGAGUUUGAUCAUGGCUCAGAUUGAACGCUGGCGGCAGGCCUAACACAUGCAAGUCGAACGGUAACAGGAAGCAGCUUGCUGCUUCGCUGACGAGUGGCGGACGGGUGAGUAAUGUCUGGGAAACUGCCUGAUGGAGGGGGGUAACUACUGGAAACGGUGGCUAAUACCGCAUAACGUCGCAAGACCAAAGAGGGGGACCUUCGGGCCUCUUGCCAUCAGAUGUGCCCAGAUGGGAUUAGC
rnacentral:rRNA from 1 species